CUGAAAUUCAUUUAGAGUAAUAAAUAGGAAAGUAUAAUCAAUAAGUUAUGUUGGAAAAGUUCAUCAUGAAAAGAUGAAAAGUUCAUUCAUGAACUUUCGUAUAUGCAAUGCAUUUCAUGUAGUAAUAAAAAAGAUAAAUAAUUAAGUUACGAGCAUAGAAAUAACCUGAUAAAUAAAAGAAAUAGAACACAGAGAAAAGAAAAUCAUUAUAUUAUAAAUAAAAAUAAAGUACCUGAUAAUUUGAUGCUAUAAAUUUGGUGGAAAAUUUAGAAUAAUUUACUGAACGGUGUUGUGGAAACUAGGUAAUUAUUUGGAGGCUAUAAAGUUGUUUGACAAUUUUUACACACAAACAAAAUAAGUUCUAAACAGCUGGACAAUUAAUUAUGUUAUAAUAGAAAUUUCAUGUUUUUUGAGAGGUCUUAGGAUUUCUUAAGCAAAUCAAAAAAGGAAAGAAAGAGGCCACGCGUGGUGGCUCACGCCUAUAAUCCCAGCACUUUGGGAGGCUGAGUCAGGCGGAUCACUUGAGGCCAGGAGUUCGAGACCAGCCUGAUCAACAUGGUGAAACCUGGUCUCCACUAAAAAUACAAAAAUUAACCAGGCGUGGUGGUGCACUUCUGUAAUCCCAGCUACUCUUGAGGCUGAGGCAGAAGAAUCGCUUGAACCUGGGAGGCAGAGGUUGCAGUGAGCUGAGAUCGUGCCACUGCACUCCAGCCUGGGAAACAGAGUAAGACUCUCUCAAAUUAAAAAAAAAAAGAAAAAUUAAAUGAAUUAAAUUAAAAUAAUUAGAAAUUCUUCAUGCAUAGCACAGCAUAGUUUAAAAAAAAAAAAAACUAGAAAAAUAUUUAAAAAUACAUGAGAAAUACAAGGUUAAAUUAUUACAUGGACCGUUUAUAAAUCAAUGGCUAAAGACAGGAUUCACAGAAAUAAAAAAUGAGGAAUAUAUGAAAUUACUUGCAAUGUCAUGUUGAAAUGAGAACAUUUUGUAACACUUUAUGCCUAUCAAAUUGGCGAGGUAACAUUUUAAUUUACAAAUCUGCUGUUGUAAAAAUAUAGCAAUAAAAUUAUACUUUUUUCUUUUACUAUUGGUGAUUCACUUGUUGUGGAGUGCAACUUGGCUACAGGCUUCAAUAUUCUUAAAGUGUUUUAUACCCGCUGAUCCCCCAAAUUCAAGUACUAAAAUGUAAUUGCCGAUGUGAUAGAAUUAAGAAGUUGGGCCUUCAGGGAGUGAUUAAGUCAUGAGGGUGGAGCCCUCAUGGAUGGGUUUUGGGCCUUUAUAAAAAGACUUGAAAGGGUGAGUUUGUCCCGUUCCAUCCUUUCCACCAUGUGAGGACACAGUGUUAUGCUCCUCUGGAGGAUGGAGCAAAAAGGCACCAUCUUGGAAACAGAGAACAGCCCUCACCAGACAUCAGUCCUGUUGGUACCUUGAUCUUGGACGUCCCAGCCUUUAGAACCAUGAGAAAUCAAUUUCUAUUGUUUAUAAAUUGCCCGGUCUGUGGUAUUUCGUUUUGGCAGCAGAAAUGGACUAAGACAAUCCCCCAAAUUGUUUUUUAAUAUUCCAAGAAAUAAUCAGAAGCACAAAUAAUGACUUAAAAUAACUUGAUAAUUCUAUUUUGAUGAAAAUAAUAGGCAACACACAAAAUAGGGACAUGGUGUAAUGAGCUAUAAUAGUAUAUUAUGUUGCUAUUAUUUUUUGUUAUUGUUGAUGAUGACGAUGAUAUAUUAGCUUGCAAAUUUUGUUCAGUGCUGGGAAUUGUUUUCAGCAUUUUAUACAUAAUAGGAUGUCAGUUCUCAUACACCCAAUGAAGUAGAUAUAAACCCCUUUAAGGAUCAAGGAAAUGAAACUCAGGGUGCUUAAGACUAUUCCUUAAAAUCACAUAGAAUGUAAAAUGAUAGAGGCUGGAUACAAUCACAAUCAUUUUGACUGUUGUUUGUUGAAUGCUUUUUGUAUAAAAUUUUUCAAAAACCAGAAAUGCAGAAAAAAUAAGAAGGUAUGAACCAGGCGGCGGCUCGCGGAGGCGCUUCUCUGAGCAUGACGCGCGGAC
rnacentral:lncRNA from 1 species